GACGAACGCUGGCGGCGUGCCUAAUACAUGCAAGUAGAACGCACAGUUUAUACCGUAGCUUGCUACACCAUAGACUGUGAGUUGCGAACGGGUGAGUAACGCGUAGGUAACCCGCCUGGUAGCGGGGGAUAACUAUUGGAAACGAUAGCUAAUACCGCAUAAUAUUAAUUAUUGCAUGAUAAUUAAUUGAAAGGUGCAAUUGCACCACUACCAGAUGGACCUGCGUUGUAUUAGCUAGUAGGUGAGGUAACGGCUCACCUAGGCGACGAUACAUAGCCGACCUGAGAGGGUGAUCGGCCAAACUGGGACUGAGACACGGCCCAGACUCCUACGGGAGGCAGCAGUAGGGAAUCUUCGGCAAUGGACGAAAGUCUGACCGAGCAACGCCGCGUGAGUGAAGAAGGUUUUCGGAUCGUAAAGCUCUGUUGUAAGAGAAGAACGGGUGUGAGAGUGGAAAGUUCACACUGUGACGGUAUCUUACCAGAAAGGGACGGCUAACUACGUG
rnacentral:rRNA from 1 species